rnacentral:rRNA from 1 species
AGUGUAGGCGGGAUCGUAAGUUAGGAGUUUAAUGCAUGGGCUUAACCCAUGAUCUGCUUUUAAUACUGCGGUUCUUGAGUAUGGGAGAGGGCGAUGGAAUUCCAGGUGUAGCGGUGGAAUGCGUAGAUAUCUGGAAGAACACCAGUAGCGAAGGCGGUCGCCUGGCCCAAUACUGACGCUGAUGCUCGAAAGCUAGGGGAGCAAACAGGAUUAGAUACCCUGGUAGUCCUAGCCGUAAACGAUGGACACUAGUUGCUGGAGGGGUCAAUCCUUUCGGUGACGAAGCUAACGCAUUAAGUGUCCCGCCUGGGGAGUACGCUCGCAAGGGUGAA